UCCACACAUGAAAGAUUUGUUCUUUUUUUUUUUAGAAAUCAAUAUUUUAUUACUGAAAGAGGAAUACAAAGGAGGAUCAAGGCUCAAUCAAAAGCAAAAGAAAUUAAAAACAAUGUCACAAUUAGAUCUCUGAAAAGCCAUCACCACCGUCCAAACCUUCACCGGAGUGCCGCCGACCACCGGAAACCACCGCCGAUAACCGGAAACCGCUUCGAAGGUUGUCGUCAAGGAUGACACCAAAGAAACAAAUAGCUUUCCUUCAUUGCAGAUGUCUCUGCCGCCAACUCAACGAUCUGCACCCAAGCUCAUAUAAGAAAUCACAACUUUGGAUUACCAACCCAAAGGGGUAAAACAAGGAGGUAGAUGAAAGAAGGAUGAGAAGAAGCAACUGAAAAACAACUCCAUUUGCAUUCGAGAGGAAUAAGUCAAAAUAUGAAGACCAGAUCUGCUAAAAAAGACUCCAAAAAAAAGAAGAAAAAGGCUCCAAAUAAGGAGAAAACAAGCCCAAUAAGAAAAAUAAAUCAUAGACUAAAGCAAGUGUGAUAAGAAUCACUUAGGGAAAGCAACAAAGUAAGGAAAGAAAAAUGAAGUGUUGUCGCCGGUCACCUAAAGGUGGUACCGUCGACAGCAACAGAGAAGAGGUGAAGUAAAAAAUAAGAGAGAAGGGAGAGAGUUUCAAGGAAGGGAGGAGACUAUUUUGCAAUUGAACUAAAAGAUCUGU
rnacentral:lncRNA from 1 species